AGCGAACGCUGGCGGCAGGCCUAACACAUGCAAGUCGAACGGAUCCUUCGGGAUUAGUGGCGGACGGGUGAGUAACACGUGGGCACGUGCCCUUUGGUUCGGAACAACUCAGGGAAACUUGAGCUAAUACCGGAUGUGCCCUUCGGGGGAAAGAUUUAUCGCCAUUGGAGCGGCCCGCGUCUGAUUAGCUAGUUGGUGAGGUAAAGGCUCACCAAGGCGACGAUCAGUAGCUGGUCUGAGAGGAUGAUCAGCCACAUUGGGACUGAGACACGGCCCAAACUCCUACGGGAGGCAGCAGUGGGGAAUCUUGCGCAAUGGGCGAAAGCCUGACGCAGCCAUGCCGCGUGAAUGAUGAAGGUCUUAGGAUUGUAAAAUUCUUUCACCGGGGACGAUAAUGACGGUACCCGGAGAAGAAGCCCCGGCUAACUUCGUGCCAGCCGCCGCGGUAA
rnacentral:rRNA from 1 species